CAGCCGCCACGGGAAUACGGAGGGGGCUAGCGUUGUUCGGAAUUACUGGGCGUAAAGCGCACGUAGGCGGCUUGGUAAGUUAGAGGUGAAAGCCUGGAGCUCAACUCCAGAAUUGCCUUUAAGACUGCCGAGCUAGCAGGUGAGAGAGGUAAGUGGAAUUCCGAGUGUAGAGGUGAAAUUCGUAGAUAUUCGGAAGAACACCAGUGGCGAAGGCGGCUUACUGGCUCAUACUGGACGCUGAGGUGCGAAAGCGUGGGGAGCAAACAGGAUUAGAUACCCCAGUAGUCCCUGUCUCUUAUAC
rnacentral:rRNA from 1 species